GUUGUUGUUACUUGGAGAGGGGCGCGGGAAGGGAACAGAACUUUCUCAUAAACGAGGGGGAACUGGGAGUUUCAGUCAGAGAGGCAGCCCCGUGCAGCGUGGGUGGAGGCCGGCUGGAAGCAGCCAGUGGGGAGGUGCGGGGGGCAGAACCGUGAGCAGAGCUGGACGGAAGGCUGGGGUUACAGGCCGGGGAGGAGGCUGCUGACAUCGCUGGGACACAUCGCUCGGUCGCUACGCACUCCUGCUGCCACGUGUGAGAGACCCGCACCCGCCUGCUGCACGACGAGCCCUCUGAGACCUGGCUUCCCCUCGUCAGAGCCAGCUCUUCCAAAUGCUCUCCUUCCCCGGCCCUGCACCUGCAGUCCUGGGGCUCCAAGUUCUGUUCUUCUGAGGGUCACCCUCUCCCUGGCCUCCGGGCCGGGCCCACGCUGUCUCUUUCGCCUGGAAACGCCUUCUCUUCACUCGUGUCCUGAAGGGCCAUCCCUGCAUGCCUGCUCCAGGCCUGGGGGCACAGUGGUGACCAAAGGAAGCGCCACAUUGCUUCUCACAGGUCACUGGCUGGAGGGAAAAAUGGCCCUGACUUUCACUCAUUCUUCCAGACUUGGCAUUGCUGAUGGUCACACCUUCUUCUCUCCAUGGGGGGCUCUUCCCAUCCCCGUGUGGCACUACCUUCCCUGCCGCCCUCCCCAGACCCCUGAGCUGUGGCCUCCGGAGGACGGGAGGAGAGCUCUGGGGCUGACUGUCCAGGUUCGUGUCUACACCGGCCUCACCAAGGGCUGGCCGGGUGUGACCCUCCACAAGCAUGUCACCACUCAUGCCUCACUCCCAGUUUAUGAGUGGGAACCACCCGGUGCCGACCUCGUGGGGUUGCUGUGAGGAAUAACCAAGGUAAAGCACACAGAGUGUGGAACUCUGCUUGGCACACAGCAGGCUCAAUAACAGCUGCAGAGGCCUCCUGUCAGGGCAUACAGAGGGCCAACAGGCACACGGGAAGAUGCCCAACAUCGCUGAUCGUCAGACAAACGCAAAUCAAGACCACAGUGAGGAACCACCUCACACCGGUCAGAAUGGCCGUCAUUCAAAAGUCUACAAAUAGCAAACGCUGGAGAGGCUGUGGAGAAAAGGGACCCUCCUACACUGCUGGUGGGAAUGCAGUUUGGUGCAGCCACUACGGAAAACAGUAUGGAGGUCCCUUAAAAAACUAAAAAUAGACUUACCAUAUGAUCCAGC
rnacentral:lncRNA from 1 species